rnacentral:rRNA from 1 species
GCCUAACACAUGCAAGUCGAGCGGAAACGAGUUAUCUGAACCUUCGGGGAACGAUAACGGCGUCGAGCGGCGGACGGGUGAGUAAUGCCUAGGAAAUUGCCCUGAUGUGGGGGAUAGCCAUUGGAAACGAUGGCUAAUACCGCAUAAUGCCUACGGGCCAAAGAGGGGGACCUUCGGGCCUCUCGCGUCAGGAUAUGCCUAGGUGGGAUUAGCUAGUUGGUGAGGUAAUGGCUCACCAAGGCGACGAUCCCUAGCUGGUCUGAGAGGAUGAUCAGCCACACUGGAACUGAGACACGGUCCAGACUCCUACGGGAGGCAGCAGUGGGGAAUAUUGCACAAUGGGCGCAAGCCUGAUGCAGCCAUGCCGCGUGUGUGAAGAAGGCCUUCGGGUUGUAAAGCACUUUCAGUCGUGAGGAAGGUAGUGUAGUUAAUAGCUGCAUUACUUGACGUUAGCGACAGAAGAAGCACCGGCUAACUCCGUGCCAGCAGCCGCGGUAAUACGGAGGGUGCGAGCGUUAAUCGGAAUUACUGGGCGUAAAGCGCAUGCAGGUGGUUUGUUAAGUCAGAUGUGAAAGCCCGGGGCUCAACCUCGGAAUAGCAUUUGAAACUGGCAGACUAGAGUACUGUAGAGGGGGGUAGAAUUUCAGGUGUAGCGGUGAAAUGCGUAGAGAUCUGAAGGAAUACCGGUGGCGAAGGCGGCCC